CCUACGGGAGGCAGCAGUGGGGGAUAUUGCACAAUGGGGGAAACCCUGAUGCAGCGACGCCGCGUGAGUGAAGGAGUAUCUCGGUACGUAAAGCUCUAUCAGCAGGGAAGAAAAUGACGGUACCUGACUAAGAAGCCCCGGCUAACUACGUGCCAGCAGCCGCGGUAAUACGUAGGGGGCAAGCGUUAUCCGGAUUUACUGGGUGUAAAGGGAGCGCAGACGGCAGUACAAGUCUGGAGUGAAAUCCCGGGGCUGAACCCCGGGACUGCUUUGGAAACUGAGUGGGUGGAGUGCAGGAGGGGCAAGCGGAAUUCCUAGUGUAGCGGUGAAAUGCGUAGAUAUUAGGAGGAACACCGGUGGCGAAGGCGGCUUGCUGGACUGUAACUGACGUUGAGGCUCGAAGGCGUGGGGAGCAAACAGGAUUAGAUACCCGUGUAGUC
rnacentral:rRNA from 1 species